AAUUCGAUGCAACGCGAAAAACCUUACCUACCCUUGACAUGUCUGGAAUCCUGAAGAGAUUUGGGAGUGCUCGAAAGAGAGCCAGAACACAGGUGCUGCAUGGCCGUCGUCAGCUCGUGUCGUGAGAUGUUGGGUUAAGUCCCGCAACGAGCGCAACCCUUGUCAUUAGUUGCUACGAAAGGGCACUCUAAUGAGACUGCCAGUGACAAACCGGAGGAAGGUGGGGAUGACGUCAGGUCAUCAUGGCCCUUAUGGGUAGGGCUACACACGUCAUACAAUGGCCGGGACAGAGGGCUGCCAACCCCCGAGGGGGAGCUAAUCCCAGAAACCCGGUCGUAGUCCGGAUCGUAGUCUGCAACUCGACUGCGUGAAGUCGGAAUCGCUAGUAAUCGCGGAUCAGCUUGCCGCGGUGAAUACGUUCCCGGGUCUUGUACACACCGCCCGUCACACCAUGGGAGCGGGUUCUGCCAGAAGUAGUUAGCCUAACCGCAAGGGGGGCGA
rnacentral:rRNA from 1 species